GGCUGCCAGCGGGCUGAACGGCCACUGCCGCCCGCUAUCCCUCGUUCGUGGGUUCGUUAUGCCAGUUGUGCGUCAGUUCUGUACAUUUAUACUGGAUAUUAACUGGAGUCAUUUAGCUGUGCUGAUGCUAUUUGCCGUGUGUUUUGCAUCAGUACUUCGUGACAUCGGCUUCGUGACCGAUGUCGGCGAAAACGGACGUUUGGGCGAGUUGGUAAGCCAUAUUUGAAACAGAACAGCGCGGUUUUGACGGGGACAAGCAGGGAGAAACGACACGGACGAGCGCUGACUUGCAACUGAAGUUUAUUGCUUGGAACGAAGAAUGUAUAACAGAAUAUAUAACAAGCAUAUAUAACAGAAAAUGUAUGACCCGGCGGCUUACUACCCGGGAUCUGCGUUCGCCGCCUUCGUGUCUCGGUGCGUCUUCGUACGUCGCACGUUCGGAUAACACUUUUUCCGACGGCUGGGCAUCCUUGUCCCUUGGCGCCAGCUGAAUGACGAGACCUCAUCAUGAUCAGUGUAUUGCUUGCCUAUGUCUACAAGUACCUUCAUGCGUGGCCUGUGGCAGCAAGCUUUCGUGGGCAGCCAGUGCUUUCCUACGAAGGCUGGCCUGCUCUGGCAGCGGCAGCAAUCAUCUUCAUGAUCACCUUUGCUGCUAUUUGUCACUCCUGCUAAUUACACUUUCUGCAUCUUUUCUAAUUUAUUAUGUAAUAAAGUAUGACUAUGUGACAUGGUGUGAA